CCGGGUUUAUGUGUCCAACACUGUCUUUGACCUCUUCCCCAAAAGCUCAGGUCGGUUUCCAACAAACUUAACAGAAGGACAAGGAUUGUAAAGAGAAUUUCUAGAAGAUUUUGUGGUGUUUAAUAACUACAUACAAAAGUAAAACCGAAGUUAAUGCUCCAAGGGAUGGCUAUGAAUAAAUAUCAUUAGAUAGAAGAGGAUCAAGAUGAGGCAGAAGAGUAAGACACAAGCAGGUAUUUAUUUAGCUGAUCUUGGAGUGAUUCAUGCAGUCUGCAAGCAUGCUGUAAGCACAGAUAUGAGACUUUUGAUACCUAAAAAGAAUCAGACUGCUCUUUUGAAAGAGACUAAAAAGUUUGUGUUCAUUCUGCAGCUAACCUGUCUGGGAGCUACAGAGGACUUUGCAGACACCAUGCCAUAUGCAGUUACUGGGACCAGAGCAGAAAAAGGAGUAGGCAGCACACCAGGCUGCCGAGGCACAGUUUGUUGCCAGCCAUAGAGGUCAAGUUGAAACUGCCAAGUUUCUCUUGAGAUAUGGUGUGGAUUUGCAUUCUCAGACCCUGCUAGGAAGGAGAGCCCUUCACCUCUGCCAUCACGGCCCUGUGACUGCACUGACCUCCCCCUCGGCUGGGCCAGCGGAGGACAAACUGGGGUGAGCCUUGCCUGCCCGUGGGGCUGGCAGCAGAACAGACAAGCCAUGGUUCCCUUCCAGGGGAGGAGGAGGUCUGCUGGUGCUGUGCCACCCUCCAGCACUGAGAAUCCAGCCUCGCAGUGGGUGCCUGGUCCCCUGUCCUGAAAUACAUAUGGACUCACUUGGUUCUGGCAAAUUUCAAGGGGCAGUCAGUAACUUUCCCAGAGACCCACACUUCAAAUAUAGGUCAUUGCGUGGGAUUUGUAGGGUUUAGUUAUGAAAUAAGCUCAUGUACUGGUGAUGCUGCAGCUAAGAUGACAACUAAUUUGACAGCACAGCUCUCAAACACGCUUUUAAUUUGUAGCUUAAGUAUUUAUAACAUUGUUCCUCAGCCAAACUGUCCAUUUAGUUAAUAUGGUUUGUGGCAGAGCUUGAGCCUGUCUGCGAGUGCUCUUUGGAAUGCUCCUUGCUCGGGUAAUUUCCUAAUAGUUGGCAACAGACCAGGGUGAUACAGUUUAAUGGGUGUUUCAGGGGACUGGAAAUCCCUAGAUCUUUAAUCCAGUUCUGGCCCUGACUGGCUCUAUUGCCUCUGGCAGAUCAGUUAAGGGUUGUUUUGUAAGUAGGGCAGUUUGUCUGCUAUGGAAGAGUGCAGGCAGGGUUGAUGUGCGUGUAAGCGGCUAAUUAUGGUUGCCCAGUGCUUGCUUAGUGUCUCCAACAUUUUAAGCCUCAGGGCUUUUAAGGUCAGGGUUUCCUGAAGCCAGCGAUGGGGUGAAGGGACUUGCCCAUCUGCUUCCAAAGUUUCACACUAGCUCAGGUUCCUUAGAUGCUUUAAAGAUAAAAAUACUACUUAUGGUCUCAUUAUGUCUCUAUGAUCAGUAGAAGGAAACAGAGCUCCUGGUCUGUUUUCUGAGGACUUAUUAAGGACUCUGUCUUGAGCAGUUUCCAUUGUUUUGCUUAGAGACACCUUUCCAAAGAGCUUGGCAUUGAGCUUCCAAUUAACUGCGGAAGAGGUGGUUCUCAGUGGGAACUGAGCACUCCUGGGAACUUGGCCCACUGCCUUUUUGCUUGCAAAGCCCUGUGCAUAGCUGGGAGACUCGACAAAUAACGAACUUGUUGUUCUUGUUUCCUUGUGUAGGAGCAUUUUCUUUAACUGAUACAUAAGGUUGCUGCAUAAAUAUGGCAAUUAGUGAAUUUUGGCCUCAGAACUUCAGUUGUGUUCCAGAUCAGUGCCUGGGAGUAGCCAUAGCCA